rnacentral:rRNA from 1 species
GGACUACUGGGGUUUCUAAUCCCGUUCGCUCCCCACGCUUUCGUGCCUCAGUGUCAGAACCGGCCCAGUCACCCGUCUUCACCACCGGCGUUCCAGACGAUAUCUACGCAUUUCACCGCUCCACCGUCUGUUCCAGUGACCCCUACCGGCCUCAAGCACGCCAGUAUCCGAAGCAGUUCCUGGGUUGAGCCCAGGGAUUUCACAACGGACUUAACGCGCCACCUACGCACCCUUUAAACCCAGUGAUUCUCAGUAACGCUCGGGACCUCUGUAUUACCGCGGCUGCUGGCAC